CUCUCUCUCCCUCUCUCUCUCUCCCUCCCUCUUGCACUCUCUCUCCCCCCUCUCUCUCCCUCCCUCUUCCUCACUCUCCCUCUUCCUCACUCUCCCUCUUCCUCUCUCUCUCUCCUCUCUCUCUUUCUCUCUCUCUCUCCCCCUCUAUCUCUCUCUCUCGCUGUUUUUCUCUCUUUGUCACCUGUUUUGCUCUUAUAGUAGCAUAGUUUUGGGGUUUGCAUCCAUGACACCACAUUCACAUGACCUAUUCCAACCCUUGCAAUAACAAAAAAUAGUGGGGAGAAUCUCAACAUAGAAAUCCUCUCACUGCAGGCCAGAGCCAACUUGAGACAAAACAGUGGUCGUAGUAGAAUCGAAAUAACUAUAUGAAACAAUCAAACAUCUUUGUACGUUAAACUUACCCUCUUUCUUUCACUGCUUUCCAUUUACACAACUCAGGUAUAUCUUUCUAUUUCUCACCUCUCAUACCUCUCUCGCGCUCUCUUUCUUUAUCUCCAUGUCCCUCUCUCUCUCUACUUUCUCGCCCCCAUAGCAAAGUGUGUUCUUCUGAGCUGUUGAAACAAUGUACUGUAUGUAUAGAAAUGAAGAGACUGAACCGUGUUCCUGUUUUGCUUUGCAUUGCUUUGCCCCUAUGUGCGUCUGUACGACACGUGUGUGUUCGACUUCAGAUGUGUUCCCCUUGUGUGCAACUGCACCUCCCUGACUUCCUCUCUGAUGUCACUUCCCCUUUUACCCUUUUCAAGCUCCAAAGCCACCACUCAAUUCUAACCUUUUCCCAAAAUUCAUAUUUCAAUAGAUUUGAAAUAGGUAAACGUUGAUUGUCCUGACCCCACACACACACACACACACACACACACACACCUAACUCUAAACGCAGAAUCCAGAUGGGACAUACAUACAAUGGGUGGAUGGGUGUCAUCAUCCCCCAUUUUCUUCCUGUUCGUCCAAAACAACUCCAUAGAGCUGAUCCAGUCAGACCAUCCGGGAGGAAGACAGGAAUCACUGUAAUGUUUUUGUUCUUAACGAGAGCCCAUUGAUCAGCUGACGUGUGGUGCUGUAUUGGGAUUGGGUGCUGGUUUUUGGCGGGAAUGAGGGGUUGGGGGGGGGCUAUGAAAUGACGUGUUCUGAUUGGUCAACUGAGGAACAUCAACAGGGGCAUGAAAUGAAGGAGGAAAAAAUUGUGGCGAGAAAGAAAGUAAAAGUUUUGGUGAGGAGGAAGAGGAAGGAGGAGGAAGGAGGCAAGAGGCAAAGUGCUUCUCACUCCAUUGUUGAGUUUCUAACUUCCCGCUGUACCUGAGCAAAGAGGAACGACAAAACAAACGUGCAAUAGUCCUCGACGCAAAGACAUGGGGUAGCAGACUCACGAGAGAGAGGAAAAGAGAGAGGCCAUGAGAACAUAAGGAGAAAGAGAGAGAGAGAGAGAUAGAGAGAGAGAGAGAGCUGAGGGUGGAAAAACAAGAAAAUAUCCUGCUUUUUGUUGCUUGGUUAACGUGAUAAUAAUCUUCUUCAAUCCUGUCUCUGUUGAAAGCUCCUGCUUUCCCCACUCUGCUCAGGAGAACAUUGAAUGGACCAAUGACAAGAGAGCAUAUGUCCAUGCAACCUUUAAAUUCAUAAUGAAGAGAGGUAAUGCAUUGGAUGACGUAGGAAACCAAUGUAGCACCAAAUUCCUUUGACCACAACAGCUUUUUUUUAACACAUUCUUUAUUCAGCGUCCUCUUUUUUUUCCGGUUUUUCAGUCAUUCUUGUUUUCCGAUCAUCCUUACCUCGCAACGGACUAUGCAACGUGAGAAAACGCCAGACCCUGAUGUCCUAAGUGGAUCAAGACUGGCCCAGAUGAUGUCGUGAGGCACAGGACUAUUUUAUCAAAACAAGUCUCUCACAGAGGAGGACAGGAUGCUACACACACACACACACACGCACGCACACACACACACACAUACUGUACACACAGGAUACAUCCGUCAGAUCCCAUGCUAUUUUGUCGUUGUCAUCAUGACCCUGUGUCAUGGUCGUAGCAGUUGCCAACUUCGGGACUCCGAGGAACAAACACGGGGCGGCUUUCAUUUGAAAGCUCCCCAGAUAGUUCAGCCACUCCCCUCGAUUGCUGCUGGAGCCCGCCCAAACAAAAACACAGACAGAUGGCAACCCUGCUGUUAGCGAGGCCUGAAGAGCGCGGGAGCAGAGGGAGGAAAGAAAAGAAAGACUGUGUGCUUUGCGGGACGGACAACAAACCGAAAGAGGACAGAAUAACCUCCAAUCGUCUCUUGAAAGGCAGCGACCGCGACGAGGGAGUCGACGGAAAAAGACAUUGUUCUAUUUUGAGUGCCCGGCACACUUUAUCGUCAUUUUAGCAUAUAUCCCUUACCUCCCCCCCUCCCCUCCCUCUCUCUCUCUCUCUCUUUCUCUCUCUCUCUCUCUCUCUCUCUCUCUCUCUCUCUCUCUCUCUCUCUCUCGCUCCUCUCUCUCUCGCUCGUUCUCUCCCUUUCUCCAUCCCUCCCUCCCUCGUUCUCUCGGACAACGUCUUCCACUCCCUCCCUGCAUCUCAGCAUUGCUGCUGCUCUUUUGUAGCAAAAAAACUGCAUGGCAUGACCAAAAAAAAAAAAAAAAACUGAACCCGAAGAAAGACAGUAUAAAAA